rnacentral:rRNA from 1 species
GACGAACGCUGGCGGCGUGCUUAACACAUGCAAGUCGAACGGAAAGGCCCUGCUUUUGUGGGGUGCUCGAGUGGCGAACGGGUGAGUAGCACGUGAGUAACCUGCCCUUGACUUUGGGAUAACUUCAGGAAACUGGGGCUAAUACCGGAUAGGAGCCCCUGCUGCAUGGUGGGGGUUGGAAAGUUUCGGCGGUUGGGGAUGGACUCGCGGCUUAUCAGCUUGUUGGUGGGGUAGUGGCUUACCAAGGCUUUGACGGGUAGCCGGCCUGAGAGGGUGACCGGCCACAUUGGGACUGAGAUACGGCCCAGACUCCUACGGGAGGCAGCAGUGGGGAAUAUUGCACAAUGGGCGGAGGCCUGAUGCAGCAACGCCGCGUGCGGGAUGACGGCCUUCGGGUUGUAAACCGCUUUCGCCUGUGACGAAGCGUGAGUGACGGUAAUGGGUAAAGAAGCACCGGCUAACUACGUG